GGGCCCGUAGCUCAGCCUGGUUAGAGCGCGCGACUGAUAAUCGCGAGGUCGAGGGUUCAAAUCCCUUCGGGCCCACCA
rnacentral:tRNA from 1 species